AAAAUGUCACCUGAUGUUAGUUGUCCCUCACUGAUUCAAGUAAUUUCCUUUAUUGAGGUGGAUCUGCCUGUUGGUGGAGAACCCUAGACUGCAUGCAGCCAUGCACAUGAUCUGGAGACACAGCAGGUCAUCCUCAGCAUUUAUACUCUCUCUCCUUUUGUGCCCCCAUGGACCAAGUUAAGAAGGUGUAGGCUUCAAAUCUUAAGAUCGGUCACCACAAAAUUCAAAAAGACAAGGUCUUUGUCUGUUGCUCAGGAUGGAGUGUAGUGGUGCCAUAGCACACUGUAAUCUUGAAUUUCUGGACUACUGGCAUACACCACCAUGCUUAGGUUCGGGCCACAACAUCCGUGACUUUACCGGUUUUGGUCUCUUCCUUGUAACUUUCGGCUCCAGGAUGCUGCGCAGCUCCUCUCUGCACUAUCUAUCAGAACGUUGCUCUGCGUGCUUGAAAGUUUCGCCAAACAGAAGUACACAAAAACAAACAGAGGCGAAACACAAAUCCCCUCAGCCCUG
rnacentral:lncRNA from 1 species